rnacentral:rRNA from 1 species
AACGCGAAGAACCUUACCAAGGCUUGACAUAUACGAGAACGGGCUAGAAAUAGUCAACUCUUUGGACACUCGUAAACAGGUGGUGCAUGGUUGUCGUCAGCUCGUGUCGUGAGAUGUUGGGUUAAGUCCCGCAACGAGCGCAACCCUCGUUCUAUGUUGCCAGCGCGUAAUGGCGGGAACUCAUAGGAGACUGCCGGGGUCAACUCGGAGGAAGGUGGGGAUGACGUCAAAUCAUCAUGCCCCUUAUGUCUUGGGCUUCACGCAUGCUACAAUGGCCGGUACAAAGGGCUGCAAUACCGUAAGGUGGAGCGAAUCCCAAAAAGCCGGUCUCAGUUCGGAUUGAGGUCUGCAACUCGACCUCAUGAAGUCGGAGUCGCUAGUAAUCGCAGAUCAGCAACGCUGCGGUGAAUACGUUCCCGGGCCUUGUACACACCGCGCAUA